rnacentral:rRNA from 1 species
UGGGGAAUCUUGCACAAUGGGGGCAACCCUGAUGCAGCGACGCCGCGUGAGCGAUGACGCCCUUCGGGGCGUACAGCUCUUUCGACCGGAACGAUAAUGACGGUACCGGGAGAAGAAGCUGCGGCUAACUACGUGCCAGCAGCCGCGGUAAUACGUAGGCAGCAAGCGUUGUUCGGAGUUACUGGGCGUAAAGAGUGCGUAGGCGGUUUUCUAAGUUCGGUGUGAAAUCUCCCGGCUUAACUGGGAGGGUGCGCCGAAGACUGGGAAGCUGGAGUGUGGGAAAGGCAGGCGGAAUGCCUGGUGUAGCGGUGAAAUGCGUAGAUAUCAGGAGGAACACCGGCGGUGUAGACGGCUUGCUAGACCAUAACUGACGCUGAGGCACGAAAGCGUGGGUAGCAAACA